rnacentral:rRNA from 1 species
UAACGAAUAUUCCGCAAUGCGCGAAAGCGUGACGGAGCAAUGCCGCGUGCAGGAUGAAGCGGUUUCGCCGUGUAAACUGCUGUCAGGGGCGAGAAAUACUGAUCAGCCCCAGAGGAAGGACCGGCUAAACUCGUGCCAGCAGCCGCGGUAAGACGAGUGGUCCAAGCGUUAGUCGGAAUUACUGGGCUUAAAGGGUGCGUAGGUGGACUUGUAAGUGUCUCGUGAAAGCCCCUGGCUCAACCAGGGAACCGCGGGGCAUACUGCAAGUCUUGAGGAAACUAGAGGCCGGCAGAACGAUAGGUGGAGCGGUGGAAUGCGUAGAGAUCUAUCGGAAUGCCGAAGGUGAAGACAGCCGGCUGGGGUUUUCCUGACACUGAGGCACGAAAGCGUGGGGAGCAAACAGGAUUAGAUACCCCCGUAGUCC